rnacentral:tRNA from 1 species
GGUGGCUCAGUGGUAGAGCGCUAGCCUCGCAUGCAUGAGGCUCUGGGUUCGAUCCCUCAGCACCA